ACCUGCGGAAGGAUCAUUAUCAAAACAGCGGACUUCGGUCCUUGCUGCACCCUUGUCUUUUGCGUACCGUAUGUUUCCUCGGCGGGCUUGCCUGCCGGUUGGACAUUAUCAAACCUUUUUGUAGUUGCAAUCAGCGUCAGAAAAUAAACAAUAAUUACAACUUUCAACAACGGAUCUCUUGGUUCUGGCAUCGAUGAAGAACGCAGCGAAAUGCGAAAAGUAGUGUGAAUUGCAGAAUUCAGUGAAUCAUCGAAUCUUUGAACGCACAUUGCGCCCCUUGGUAUUCCAUGGGGCAUGCCUGUUCGAGCGUCAUUUUGUACCCUCAAGCACUGCUUGGUGUUGGGCGUUUGUCCUGCAAAGGACUCGCCUGAAAGCGAUUGGCGGCCAACGUACUGGUGGUAGAGCGCAGCACAAUUUGCGUCUCUCCCUUCUACGUCGGCGUCCAUGAAGCCUUUUUUCAACGUUUGACCUCGGAUCAGGUAGGGAUACCCGCUGAACUUAAGCAUAUCAAUAAGCGGAGGAA
rnacentral:rRNA from 1 species